rnacentral:rRNA from 1 species
UACGAAGGGGGCUAGCGUUGCUCGGAAUCACUGGGCGUAAAGCGCACGUAGGCGGAUCUUUAAGUCAGGGGUGAAAUCCCGGAGCUCAACUCCGGAACUGCCUUUGAUACUGAGGGUCUCGAGUCCGGGAGAGGUGAGUGGAACUGCGAGUGUAGAGGUGAAAUUCGUAGAUAUUCGCAAGAGCACCAGUGGCGAAGGCGGCUCACUGGCCCGGUACUGACGCUGAGGUGCGAAAGCGUGGGGAGCAAACAGG